AUCGCUUCUCAGCCUUUUGGCUAAGAUCAAAGUGUAGUAUCAGUUCUUAUCAGCUUAAUAUUUGGGGACCAUCAAUAUUAAACUGAUUUUUAGAACGAGGCGAAGAAUUAGGGGCUUGCUCCACCUUUGCCACGGGUUGGCCUGGUAUAGCAGUACUUCCAGGAUUCAGCCCAUCUCCC
rnacentral:snRNA from 1 species